rnacentral:rRNA from 1 species
GACGAACGCUGGCGGCGUGCCUAAUACAUGCAAGUAGGACGCAGUUGCGAACGGGUGAGUAACGCGUAGGUAACUACCUAUUAGAGGGGGAUAACUAUUGGAAACGAUAGCUAAUACCGCAUACUAGUAGAUGGACCUGCGUUGUAUUAGCUAGUAGGUAGGGUAAUGGCCUACCUAGGAAACGAUACAUAGCCGACCUUGGAGGGUGAUCUGCCACAAUGGGAGUUGUACACGGCCCAGACUCCUACGGGAAGGAGCAGUAGGGAAUCUUCGGCAAUUGGGGGAACCCUGACCGAACAACGCCGCGGGAGUGAAGGAGGUUUUCGGAUCGUUAAGCUCUGUUGUUAAAGAAGCGUUACUUAACCAGAAAGGGACGGCUAACUACGUGCCAGCAGCCGCGGUAAUAC